rnacentral:lncRNA from 1 species
AUCCCUUAGGAUUUUAAAAGGACAGGACCAAUCAGGAGGUCUUGUCAUCAUGACAGUAAAACAUCCAUGGAAUACUCUAUGAUGAUUAGCCUGAAUUAAUAGAGUACACUCGACAAACAUGCUAUACCAGAGUCUAGAAAUAUCACAAUCAAGAAGGGAUGGUAUUUGCUAGGUCGAGAUCGGGGGAGAUGGUUUAAAAAUUUCUUCAAUUAUAGCCUGGUCUACCCCA